AUCCAGCUGACGAAUCCCAAAUAAAAUGAAGCGCGCGUCCUGAAU
rnacentral:hammerhead_ribozyme from 1 species